UACAGAGGGUGCAAACGUUGCUCGGAAUCAUUGGGCGUAAAGCGCACGUAGGCGGUCUAGUAAGUCAGGAGUGAAAGCCCUCGGCUUAACCGGGGAAGUGCUUUUGAAACUGCAAGACUUGAAUACUGGAGAGGAUCGCGGAAUUCCCGGUGUAGAGGUGAAAUUCGUAGAUAUCGGGAGGAACACCAGUGGCGAAGGCGGCGAUCUGGACAGAUAUUGACGCUGAGGUGCGAAAGCGUGGGGAGCAAACAGG
rnacentral:rRNA from 1 species